CACUGAGGCGUGAUGACGAGGCACUACGGUGCUGAAGCAACAAAUGCCCUGCUUCCAGGAAAAGCCUCUAAGCAUCAGGUAACAUCAAAUCGUACCCCAAACCGACACAGGUGGUCAGGUAGAGAAUACCAAGGCGCUUGAGAGAACUCGGGUGAAGGAACUAGGCAAAAUGGUGCCGUAACUUCGGGAGAAGGCACGCUGACACGUAGGUGAAGUGAUUUACUCACGGAGCUGAAGUCAGUCGAAGAUACCAGCUGGCUGCAACUGUUUAUUAAAAACACAGCACUGUGCAAACACGAAAGUGGACGUAUACGGUGUGACGCCUGCCCGGUGCCGGAAGGUUAAUUGAUGGGGUCAGCGCAAGCGAAGCUCCUGAUCGAAGCCCCGGUAAACGGCGGCCGUAACUAUAACGGUCCUAAGGUAGCGAAAUUCCUUGUCGGGUAAGUUCCGACCUGCACGAAUGGCGUAAUGAUGGCCAGGCUGUCUCCACCCGAGACUCAGUGAAAUUGAACUCGCUGUGAAGAUGCAGUGUACCCGCGGCAAGACGGAAAGACCCCGUGAACCUUUACUAUAGCUUGACACUGAACAUUGAGCCUUGAUGUGUAGGAUAGGUGGGAGGCUUUGAAGUGUGGACGCCAGUCUGCAUGGAGCCGACCUUGAAAUACCACCCUUUAAUGUUUGAUGUUCUAACGUGGACCCGUAAUCCGGGUUGCGGACAGUGUCUGGUGGGUAGUUUGACUGGGGCGGUCUCCUCCUAAAGAGUAACGGAGGAGCACGAAGGUUGGCUAAUCCUGGUCGGACAUCAGGAGGUUAGUGCAAUGGCAUAAGCCAGCUUGACUGCGAGCGUGACGGCGCGAGCAGGUGCGAAAGCAGGUCAUAGUGAUCCGGUGGUUCUGAAUGGAAGGGCCAUCGCUCAACGGAUAAAAGGUACUCCGGGGAUAACAGGCUGAUACCGCCCAAGAGUUCAUAUCGACGGCGGUGUUUGGCACCUCGAUGUCGGCUCAUCACAUCCUGGGGCUGAAGUAGGUCCCAAGGGUAUGGCUGUUCGCCAUUUAAAGUGGUACGCGAGCUGGGUUUAGAACGUCGUGAGACAGUUCGGUCCCUAUCUGCCGUGGGCGCUGGAGAACUGAGGGGGGCUGCUCCUAGUACGAGAGGACCGGAGUGGACGCAUCACUGGUGUUCGGGUUGUCAUGCCAAUGGCACUGCCCGGUAGCUAAAUGCGGAAGAGAUAAGUGCUGAAAGCAUCUAAGCACGAAACUUGCCCCGAGAUGAGUUCUCCCUGAGACUUAGAGUCUCCUGAAGGAACGUUGAAGACGACGACGUUGAUAGGCCGGGUGUGUAAGCGCAGCGAUGCGUUGAGCUAACCGGUACUAAUGAACCGUGAGGCUUAACCUUACA
rnacentral:rRNA from 1 species